GCUUGUCUCAAAGAUUAAGCCAUGCAUGUCUAAGUAUAAACGACUUUAUACUGUGAAACUGCGAAUGGCUCAUUAUAUCAGUUAUAGUUUAUUUGAUGGUCCUUGCUACUUGGAUAACUGUAGAAACACUAGAGCUAAUACAUGCUAAGACCGUAAGGUUGUAUUUAUUAGAUAUACCGAGUAGGUGAAUCAUAAUAACUUCGCAAAUCGCAGUAAUACUGCGAUAAAUCAUUCAAGUUUCUGCCCUAUCAUGCUCUCGAUGGUAGUGUAUUGGACUACCAUGGCUCUCACGGGUAACGGGGAAUUAGGGUUCGAUUCCGGAGAAGGAGCCUGAGAAACGGCUACUACAUCUAAGGAAGGCAGCAGG
rnacentral:rRNA from 1 species